AUUGCCGGGUAGCGAAACUCGGGUGGAUUUUUUCGCAACGAACGCAUGCAAUCUUCAUAAUUAUACCCUAGAACAUGUUUGGGAGUGUUUUUGAGCAUUCGGUUCCGGAACGAAAAAUGAUGCAAAACGGGUGCAUUUCGGCACCCGAAUGCACUAUUUCCGGGUAGCGAAACUCGGGUGGAUUUUUUCGCAACGAACGCAUGCAAUAUUCCUAAUUAUACCCUAGAACAUGUUUGG
rnacentral:lncRNA from 1 species